rnacentral:rRNA from 1 species
AUGACAUUCCAUUCCACUUUGUUCUCAAACCAAACACACCCUAAGAUGGCUCAUUUCAUCCCAUGCCGCAAGACAACGGAUGCUCAUUAUGUGGCAAACCUAUUCUUUCGAGAAGUGGUCAGACUUCAUGGAGUUCCAAGGUCCAUUGUCUCAGACCGUGAUAGCAAGUUUCUUGCUGCAUUUUGGCUCACUUUGUGGAAGCAAUUCAACACUGAAUUGAAAUUUUCUAGCACUGCUCAUCCACAAAUAGAUGGACAAACGGAAAUGGUGAACACGUUUUUGGGUAAUCUGAUCCGUUGCAUUUGUGGAGAAAGAAAGGGACAAUGA